rnacentral:rRNA from 1 species
UACAGAGGAUGCAAGCGUUAUCCGGAAUGAUUGGGCGUAAAGCGUCUGUAGGUGGCUUUUUAAGUCCGCCGUCAAAUCCCAGGGCUCAACUCUGGACAGGCGGUGGAAACUACCAAGCUGGAGUACGGUAGGGGCAGAGGGAAUUUCCGGUGGAGCGGUGAAAUGCGUAGAGAUCCGGAAGAACACCGGUGGCGAAGGCGGCCUGCUGGGCAGUUUUGCUGACACUGAGGCGCGACAGCGUGGGGAGCAAACAGG